GACAGAGGGUGCAAACGUUGUUCGGAAUUACUGGGCGUAAAGCGCGUGUAGGCGGCAGGGCAUGUCGGAUGUGAAAUCCCGUGGCUCAACCACGGAAGUGCACCCGAAACUGCCCAGCUUGAGUCUCGGAGAGGAAGGCGGAAUGCUUGGUGUAGAGGUGAAAUUCGUAGAUAUCAAGCGGAACACCGGUGGCGAAGGCGGCCUUCUGGACGAUGACUGACGCUGAGGAGCGAAAGCGUGGGGAGCGAACAGG
rnacentral:rRNA from 1 species